GAUGAACGCUGGCGGCGUGCCUAAUACAUGCCAGUCGAGCGAACAGACGAGGAGCUUGCUCCUCUGACGUUAGCGGCGGACGGGUGAGUAACACGUGGAUAACCUACCUAUAAGACUGGGAUAACUUCGGGAAACCGGAGCUAAUACCGGAUAAUAUAUUGAACCGCAUGGUUCAAUAGUGAAAGACGGUUUUGCUGUCACUUAUAGAUGGAUCCGCGCCGCAUUAGCUAGUUGGUAAGGUAACGGCUUACCAAGGCAACGAUGCGUAGCCGACCUGAGAGGGUGAUCGACCACACUGGAACUGAAACACGGUCCAGACUCCUACGGGAGGCAGCAGUAGGGAAUCUUCCGCAAUGGGCGAAAGCCUGACGGAGCAACGCCGCGUGAGUGAUGAAGGUCUUCGGAUCGUAAAACUCUGUUAUUAGGGAAGAACAAAUGUGUAAGUAACUAUGCACAUCUUGACGGUACCUAAUCAGAAAGCCACGGCUAACUACGUG
rnacentral:rRNA from 1 species